ensembl:processed_transcript
CUCUUUAGGCGUCCCUCUCUGGGUGAGCUUGUUCUCGAACCGAUCCGUGAUUCCAGACACCUUGUUUAUGGAGGUAUGUUCCACUGUGAAGCUGGCUUAGUGCUUGUCCUGUGCUUUCUGUUCAAUCUGAAAGAAGAGGACCUGCAUGGGCACCUACUGAAUAUUUAACUAUGUCCAACAUGGUGAAAUUUUGUCUGUAUUAGGGCCUCAGCCAUUAGAAGCUGGGAAACCUUUUCUGCCUACUUAGCUGUUUGGUAAAUCAGUUUUUUUCACAGGUAAUGCCUAGAUUUGAGGACCUUCAGCAUGGUUCUUUUUUUUUUGAAGUUCAGGUUUCCCCCCCCCAGACCGUAUUAUAUGACCCACUUUUUUUUUUUGUUCCCCAGUUCUCUAUAAGAUUAUGGUUGUAAGUUCAAAUCUGAAUUAAAGCAUUUGAAUGUC